rnacentral:rRNA from 1 species
UGGGGAAUUUUGGACAAUGGGGGAAACCCUGAUCCAGCCAUCCCGCGUGUGCGAUGAAGGCCUUCGGGUUGUAAAGCACUUUUGGCAGGAAAGAAACGUCGCGGGUUAAUACCCCGCGAAACUGACGGUACCUGCAGAAUAAGCACCGGCUAACUACGUGCCAGCAGCCGCGGUAAUACGUAGGGUGCAAGCGUUAAUCGGAAUUACUGGGCGUAAAGCGUGCGCAGGCGGUUCGGAAAGAAAGAUGUGAAAUCCCAGAGCUUAACUUUGGAACUGCAUUUUUAACUACCGGGCUAGAGUGUGCCAGAGGGAGGUGGAAUUCCGCGUGUAGCAGUGAAAUGCGUAGAUAUGCGGAGGAACACCGAUGGCGAAGGCAGCCUCCUGGGAUAACACUGACGCUCAUGCACGAAAAGCGUGGGGGAGCAAACAGGAUUAGAUACCCUGGUAGUCCACGCCCUAAAACGAUGUCAACUAGCUGUUGGGGCCUUCGGGCCUUGGUAGCGCAGCUAACGCGUGAAGUUGACCGCCUGGGGGAGUACGGUCGCAAGAUUAAAACUCAAAGGAAUUGACGGGGUCAUAGCUGUUUCCU